rnacentral:rRNA from 1 species
CAGCCGCCGCGGUAAUACGUAGGUGGCAAGCGUUGUCCGGAAUUAUUGGGCGUAAAGCGCGCGCAGGCGGAUAGGUCAGUCUGUCUUAAAAGUUCGGGGCUUAACCCCGUGAUGGGAUGGAAACUGCCAAUCUAGAGUAUCGGAGAGGAAAGUGGAAUUCCUAGUGUAGCGGUGAAAUGCGUAGAUAUUAGGAAGAACACCAGUGGCGAAGGCGACUUUCUGGACGAAAACUGACGCUGAGGCGCGAAAGCCAGGGGAGCGAACGGGAUUAGAGACCCGCGUAGUCCCUGUCUCUUAUACA